ACGCUCCAACGGCUUCCUGACGGGGCGUAUUUUAUUAUAACGGAGCA
rnacentral:ncRNA from 1 species